UAUCUCUUCCCUCCUGCCCCAAACUGGCUUCUGAUUUCUGCCUGUGGCAAGGACUCUUACCGUUAACUCAAGGCUAGGGUGUGGGGUGUUAGAAAACGAUUUCAAAUUCAGUGCCAUUUCAGUGCUGGUCAAAGGCUGUGCACGCUGAAGAAGUGAAAGUAUGGGUUUUGCUUAGGGGACACUCCGCGGUACAUGUUCUUAAACCACUGCCUGACGAAAGAGAUGAAAAAGUUGAAGAUCAGAGAAGUUAAAUGAAUUGCCAGAAACCACCACCAGACAGGAUUGACAAUAAAAAUGAGAAAUCCUACUUCUAGGAAUCUACCUUAAGGAAAUAAUGAGAAAUGUAGACUAACAAUCGCCUCCAAGGAGAUUCACUGAAGCAUUCUUCAUCAUCACAAAAAGAGAAGCAACUAAAUGUGCUGCAUGCACAAUGCAUUGAGCGAGAAGCAGGCUGCAAGCAAAUGUACGUGUAAUGCCACUUGUGUAAGAGGCUGCAGAGCA